UACGGGGGGGGCAAGCGUUGUUCGGAAUCACUGGGCGUAAAGCGCACGUAGGCGGACUCUUAAGUCGGUGGUGAAAUCCUGGAGCUCAACUCCAGAACUGCCUUCGAUACUGGGAGUCUCGAGUUCGGGAGAGGUGAGUGGAACUGCGAGUGUAGAGGUGAAAUUCGUAGAUAUUCGCAAGAACACCAGUGGCGAAGGCGGCUCACUGGCCCGAUACUGACGCUGAGGUGCGAAAGCGUGGGGAGCAAACAGG
rnacentral:rRNA from 1 species